rnacentral:rRNA from 1 species
GAACGCUGGCGGUAGGCCUUAUACAUGCAAGUCGAGCGAGAAAGUAUCUUCGGAUAUGAGUAGAGCGGCGGACGGGUGAGUAACGCGUAGGAAUCUACCUAGUAGAAGGGGAUAGCCCGGGGAAACUCGGAUUAAUACCGUAUACCCCCUUUGGGAGAAAGAGGGCCUCUCUUUGAUGCUCUCGCUACUAGAUGAGCCUGCGUAAGAUUAGCUAGUUGGUGAGGUAAUGGCUCACCAAGGCGACGACCUUUAGCUGGUCUGAGAGGACGAUCAGCCACAUUGGGACUGAGACACGGCCCAGACUCCUACGGGAGGCAGCAGUAGGGAAUAUUGGACAAUGAGCGCAAGCUUGAUCCAGCCAUACCGCGUGUGUGAAGAAGGCUUUCGGGUUGUAAAGCACUUUAAGCAGGGAGAAAAAGUUAUAGGCUAAUACCCUAUGACCGUGAUGUUACCUGCAGAAUAAGCACCGGCUAAUUCCGUGCCAGCAGCCGCGGUAAUACGGAAGGUGCAAGCGUUAAUCGGAAUUACUGGGCGUAAAGCGCGCGUANGUGGUUUGUUAAGUUGGAUGUGAAAGCCC